rnacentral:rRNA from 1 species
AACGAACGCUGGCGGCGUGGAUAAGACAUGCAAGUCGAGCGGGAAUUCACAGGUAGCAAUAUCCGUGGAUUUCAGCGGCGAAAGGGUGCGUAACACGUAGCUCACCUACCUCGAAGUGGGGGAUAGCUCGCCGAAAGGCGAAUUAAUACCGCAUGUGGUCGAAAGACCAAAGCUGGGGAUCGUAAGACCUGGCGCUUUGAGAUGGGGCUGCGGCCUAUCAGCUAGUUGCGGGGUAACGGCCCACCAAGGCGAUGACGGGUAGCUGGUCUGAGAGGACGACCAGUCACACUGGAACUGAGACACGGUCCAGACACCUACGGGGCUG